CUCUGUGACUCCUACGGGAGGCAGCAGUGGGGAAUAUUGCACAAUGGGCGCAAGCCUGAUGCAGCAACGCCGUGUGAGUGAAGAAGGUUUCGGAUCGUAAAACUCUGUCCUAAGGGAAGAAAAAAUGACGGUACCUUAGGAGGAAGCCCCGGCUAACUACGUGCCAGCAGCCGCGGUAAUACGUAGGGGGCAAGCGUUAUCCGGAAUCACUGGGCGUAAAGGGUGCGUAGGCGGCUUGACAAGCCAGGGGUGAAAGGCAUUGGCUCAACCAAUGUAAGCCUUUGGAACUGUUAAGCUUGAGUGCAGGAGAGGUAAGUGGAAUUCCUAGUGUAGAGGUGAAAUUCGUAGAUAUUAGGAGGAACACCAGUGGCGAAGGCGACUUACUGGACUGUAACUGACGCUGAUGCACGAAAGCGUGGGUAGCGAACAGGAUUAGAUACCCUGUAG
rnacentral:rRNA from 1 species